AAGGAAACAUCAACAUUUUCCGCAUCCGCUCAAGAUGACACUGUCAGCCUCAACGAUCAUAUUACAACAAUAAUACCGUCUUUCCCCCCCCCACAUUAUUCCGCGGGUUUUUGCUGAGGAAUUCGCUGUGCGAGAAUCGUUUUCAUAAGGGGGAUUAUUUUCACCGGGGUCAUUCACUGCAUCAAGGUGUCCUCGAGGAGACGGGAAGAUGUCAGAAGCCUUUUUCCUCACAUUCCAGUCUCAGCUCUCCGUUGUCAUGGAGACCGUCCUCAAGUCAGCCAUGUUUGAGAUAACCAGGCUGGUGGAAGACGGCUUCCUCGAGGAAGUGGGUCACCGUAAACAGGAGGUGGAGGUCUUGAAACGAAGGUUGCAGCUGUCUGAGAGUAAACUGAGGGAGAGGGAGAGGGAAUGGGAACGGGGGAGGAAGACACGGUGCCCGGACUGUGGUCGAACAGGAGAGUCCAGCAGCAGAGAUGAGAGCCAGCCUGUAGAGACAGUCCGGGGAGCAGACAGCCUUUGUUUAGGCCUAAGCCUGAGAGAUCAGUCUAUCAAUCAGCCUACUCUGACUGAAGAAGCGUGGAGUGCCAGACAACGCCUGGAGUCUAACAAACGAACAACAGCACACACACACUCUAAGGAGAAGAAUGAUGUACACAGACAGAAUGCAAAAGAGAUCGUCACACCUAACUCUAAUGCACAAAUUCAUCAGGAUUUUCUGCAGAGGAUUCUGGGCAAUUCAGUCAUUCACAGUGAGUCUACUAGUGACUUCCAACCCAGAGUGAGCAAUUUAGAUAAAUCUGACAAAAACUUUGCUCUCGAUAAGGAAAUGGACUCAAACCACUCAAGACUGUUACAAAGUCCUUCGGCUCAGGAUGCGCACGAGGACUUGCCGUCGUCUUCGCCAAACAGCAGAGUAAAAACAGAAACGGAGCUGGAUCUUCUACCUGUCAAGGAGGAGGAAGAGAUGGUUCCGGUGUGGGACAGCGUCAACCGAGAUGACGGAUGCCAUGCAGAAAUGGCUGAUCCGAGUCAGGGAGAGCUCAGAGGACCUUGUGAUCAGGAGGAGAUACAGGUAGAAAGCUUUCCAGGUCUAAACUCUCUCGACAUGCCAGAUGCCACCUCAUAUUUCACACCUUAUUCAGUCAGCACACUGGUACAUCAAGGUAUUAGGGCACAACAUAGUCAUUUAUGCACAACAGAGCUGAUGCUCUCUAGCAUACCAGAGAGGUCACAUUCAUUUGUCCAACCAGAAAAUGGACAAAGUUAUCCUGGUUCAAAGAGUUCCAUCCUCUAUUCUCACAUUGAUGUUUGUCCAGGCGAGAAAGCAAUCAGCCAUGCACAAUACCCAAAGUGUUUCUCCCAGGACAAAUAUGGGACGCCUGAACAAAUCCAUGCAGAAAGAUCCCACCAUUGCACCCAAUGUGGGAAAAAGUUUGCGAGAGCAUGCGACCUCAAGGCUCAUUCGCUGAUCCACAAGGGCAAGAAGCCUCUGAGCUGUUCGCAGUGCGAUCAGACGUUCACGUACAACUUCGAGCUCAAGGCUCACCAGCGAAACCACUCAGGGGAGCGACCUCACGUCUGUCCACACUGUGGCAAGGCCUUCACUCGAAUGAGCAACUUCAGGCAGCAUCAGAACAUCCACACGCGGGAAAAACUCUUCAGCUGCACUCAAUGCGGGAUGCGAUUCAAUCGAGCCACCAACCUACGAGUUCAUCUCAGACGACACAGCCACGCGGGGAAGACUUACAAUUGCCCUCAUUGUGGAAAGAGCUUUCUGAAUCCCAGGCAAAUGAAGGCUCAUUUACUGAAAGUCCAUGGAAGAGGAGGGAAAUAAACAUAUCUAAUUUAUGUUUGGAAAUUCAGUUUGAACCGAUUCCGAAUUGGAUCAAUUCAUGUUUACAUGUUAUAAAUGGUCUGCGCUGUUAAAACUCAAGAAGAUACCACUGUCCCAUGGUUGCCACCUUAGAGACAACUAAACAAGAUGUGGACAAAUUGUUAUGCAUGGAAUCUUUGCAUUACGGAAAGAUGAGGAAACUUAUUUAGGUUUCCUUAUUUAGGUUUAAUACAUCUGCAUAUAUAAAUUGGAAUGACUGAUUUUCAUCAACAGGAAUUAUUUUGCUGUUGAAUGAUCAAUGUGUAAUAGCUGGUAUAUAUUAUGUAUUUAAUGUUUUUAUAUAUUCCUUCCAACUACAUUAAAGACAGAGUAUGUAUGUAGCACAUCCUCUUUCCUGAGAAUGUCUUUUUAGAAUUAAUUUACACUUAAAAUUUUGACUAAAAAGGUACCCUGGCCUUCACUUAAAUUGUGAUGUGUCCCUGUAGCUUCAACUUUCAUGGCAUUUUGUUGGAAAAAGUAAAUGAACCAUCAGAUGUAGCAACUGGUAGCACCUCUCUUUCUUGUUCCUGACAAACAGUCCCACCUCAUCAAGUCAGUAAAGUUAGUCCAAAAUGCUCCAUAUCCAUUUCAGUCUUCCAUUCAGACUUCAAGUCUCCUUUUCAGUGUUUCUUUUUUUUUGGGAUUGAUGAACACUCUUGUUGGACAAUACAAGACCUCCUGCUCAGCCAUUUCCACAAGAUUUCUGUGAUCUCCUGCAGCAUUGUGUCUUGAUGCCUGCCUCUCCUGGAGUGAUUGUAGUCGGACAACUAUUAUCCCCCACAUACAGAUUGGCCAAAGGUUUGCAGAGCACAUUUCCACGGAACAAGGAAAUUUACACCCCAUAAACAAGCAGAGGAC